CCUGGGGCAGGUGAGGGACAGGUGAGGGGAGGGGUCACCUGGGGCAGGUGAGGGGAGGGGUUACCUGGGGCAGGUGAGGGGGGCAGGGUUACCUGGGGCAGGUGAGGGACAGGUGAGGGGAGGGGUCACCUGGGGCAGGUGUGGGACAGGU